UUGAACGCUGGCGGCAUGCCUUACACAUGCAAGUCGAACGGUAACGGGCCUUCGGGUGCCGACGAGUGGCGAACGGGUGAGUAAUACAUCGGAACGUGCCCGAUCGUGGGGGAUAACGAGGCGAAAGCUUUGCUAAUACCGCAUACGAUCUACGGAUGAAAGCAGGGGACCGCAAGGCCUUGCGCGGACGGGGCGGACGAUGGCAGAUUAGGUAGUUGGUGGGAUAAAAGCUUACCAAGCCGACGAUCUGUAGCUGGUCUGAGAGGAUGAUCAGCCACACUGGGACUGAGACACGGCCCAGACUCCUACGGGAGGCAGCAGUGGGGAAUUUUGGACAAUGGGCGCAAGCCUGAUCCAGCCAUGCCGCGUGCAGGAUGAAGGCCUUCGGGUUGUAAACUGCUUUUGUACGGAACGAAAAGCCUUCUUUUAAUACAGGAGGGUCAUGACGGUACCGUAAGAAUAAGCACCGGCUAACUACGUG
rnacentral:rRNA from 1 species